rnacentral:rRNA from 1 species
GACGAACGCUGGCGGCGUGCUUAACACAUGCAAGUCGAACGGAAAGGCCCCUUUGGGGGUACUCGAGUGGUGAACGGGUGAGUAACACGUGAGUAACCUGCACUUGCCUUCGGGAUAACUUCAGGAUACUGGGGCUAAUACCGGUAAGGAAUACUUGCUUCAUGGUGGGGGUUGGAAAGCUUCGGCGGGUUUGGAUGGACUCGCGGCGUAUCAGCUUGUUGGUGGGGUAGUGGGUUACCAAGGCUUCGACGGGUAGCCAGCCUGCGUGGGCGACCGGCGACAUUGGGACUUACGGGCGGCCCAGGCACCGACUGGAGGGAGCAGGGGGGAAGAUUGCACAAGGGGCGGAGGGCGGGUGCAGCAACGCCUCGGGCGGGAUGACGGCCUUCGGGGUGUAAACCGCUUGCAGCAGUGGCGAAGCUUGUGGUGACGGUACCUGCAGAGGAAGCACCGGCUAACUACGUG